UCCUCAAGACUAGAAAGCAUGAAGCAGGGGAGGCGUUUUGAAAGCUUAAGGACAAAAGACCAUGGGCCUGGAUGGCUGAUUCCGGGAUCGGCAUCGUAAUUUGUUGAGAAGGAGGCCGUGCUGUGCUGCCAGUUAUUAAUGGGUUUAAUCGGUUGAUACACAGCCCUACUGGCCUAACCAGUAGCCCAGGGCCCGAGAGGAUUUGCAGGUCGUGUCAGAAUUUGAUUGAAGUUCCUUCCACUUGGCAUAAGGAGACACCAUCAGCCUGAUUGAGAGGGUCAUGGUGAGAUGGAGCCCGCCAAGGUGGCAGCGCUGAGCUGACCACGCCACGGACCAUAGAGUGGGAGCCUUUCCUGCCCCCUUAACCGCAGCUAACAUCAAAAGCACUGGUAUGGGCUGUCUAACUGGAACCUGAGUUGGUCUUUGUAAUUACGAUUCUUUUGGGUUUAUUUUGCCAGUUCAUUAUCCACCCCCCUGAAAUCAGGCCUCCCAAAUUUAGCAGGUGCUGGGGAGGACCCCAGGGAGUGGCUUGUGGGGGCUAGCUGGUGAAACUACCCUUUCCUUUCUGUUCUAUGAGUGUGAUGGUGUUUGAGAAAUAUGGGGCUAUGGUUCAGGCGCACUUCACAUGUGCAAAGAUGGAGAAAGCACUCACCUGCACAUUUAGGCUCAGAAUAUUGAUUGAAACAUUUUGAAAUAUCAAAAAUAAAAUGUUAUUUUUAAAGUUUCUCUGAGAUUUCGCUUAAGUUUUGGUAGAUAUUCUUAAAUUUUAGUGACCUCAGUUUGGGAAUUCAGUAAGCCAAAUAUUGUAUCCUUAUUAUUAGUUAUAUAGAACUAUGCCUUAGACUUUGUUAGAAACUUCUGCUUCAGCUUGACUGACUCAUUUUCCAUUUCUGGUUGUACAAAAUGAACUGACACUUUAAUGCUGUGGCCACCUUUAAAUAAAGUACAAUGUGACAAAAAAAUACAAA
rnacentral:lncRNA from 1 species